GAAUCUUGGACAAUGGGGGCAACCCUGAUCCAGCCAUGCCGCGUGUGUGAAGAAGGCCUUCGGGUUGUAAAGCACUUUCAGUAGGGAGGAAGGCUUAGGGCUAAUAACCCUGAGUACUUGACGUUACCUACAGAAGAAGCACCGGCUAAUUUCGUGCCAGCAGCCGCGGUAAUACGAAAGGUGCGAGCGUUAAUCGGAAUUACUGGGCGUAAAGCGCGCGGAGGCGGUUUGUUAAGUCAGAUGUGAAAGCCCCGGGCUCAACCUGGGAAUUGCAUUUGAAACUGGCAGGCUAGAAUGCAGUAGAGGGAGGUGGAAUUUCCGGUGUAGCGGUGAAAUGCGUAGAGAUCGGAAGGAACACCAGUGGCGAAGGCGGCCUCCUGGACUGAUACUGACGCUGAGGUGCGAAAGCGUGGGGAGCAAACAGG
rnacentral:rRNA from 1 species